rnacentral:lncRNA from 1 species
CUAGAGGACUGCAGCCUCCACCGCCUGAGCUGCACCCGGGUCUCCCAUGGAGCCCAACCCGUGACUCCAGCUCCUCAGCGGGGAGCUCCUCACUUGGCAGGGGGCUGGCUGUGCACAGGUCCUAAGCCGGGUCUGUAGUCCUCAGGGUCUGCACCGCAGGCUGGUCCAGGGUCUGAAGCCAGUUUUGUCUGCAUGUUGGUCUGCCCUCCCAUCUGGGUCCACAGGAGACCCCCUCUGCACACAAGGAGCCCCAAGGGAACGCCCCUCCCUGCCUGUUUCAGCCUGUCAGUCCCCACUGGAGAUGAAACCUCAUGACUCAUGGGAUCUAUUAUAUUAUCAAAGUCUCCUCUGCAGGGUAAACGCCCCUCGCUGGGUGGAGGUUGAAGCCUCUAGCCACCCGGGUGUUGAGCUCAGUUCUCCAGACGGGAGGCCGAGAAGGGUCCCAGGAAAUUAGUGUGGGAAAAGGAGUAGGGGGAAGGGAAGGGCUUUGGGACUCGAGCCUUCUAGCCCCUGGAAGGCUGGGAUGCAUUUAUGUAGCUUGGCAGAGACUUCCCCGAGCCCAAUCAGGCCCUGGAUGCUUGGCAUUCCAUAAAGGCCAGCACAUUCCGGAAAGCAGCUGAGCACAUGAUCAGGGAUCUGGUGGAGCUGCCCCCUGACCUCCCGGUCCGACUGAGCCCUGGGGAGCCAGAUGCCGGCUUGAGCUGCAGUCAUGUUGGGUGGAAACGUGGCUCAGGGCUGCACCUGGUUAGAACAUGCUCCUGGCCUGUCCCUAGUGAGCAGGAAGCUGAAUUUGUCACAAUGCUGCUGGGCCUGGUGAGACGGCCCUGGUGGAGGACCUGCAGCUUCCUGGUACUGCAUGGGGCCAAGGGCUUUUGGUGGAUGAAGCUGCUCCUUUACCAGGGUUUCCAGCACAGACAGAGUAUGUCCUGCUUUUUUCUUCAGAUGGCCACUGGUCCACAUGGCCCUGCCCAGGCCAUGGCAUUUGGGGCAUGCUAUGGCCUCUCACAUACUCAGCAGGAUGGUGUCAACUUGGCUGGGUUACCAGGUGCCCAGAUAUUUGGUCAAACAUUAUUCUGGGUGCAUCUGUGGGUGUUUCUGGGUGAGAUUAACAUUUGUGUCUGUAGACUGAGAAAAGCAUGCGAUCCUCCCCAAUGUAGGUGGGCCUUGCCUAAUCAGUCGCCAGUAUUGCUAAAACAGUGUUGGAGGAAGAGGGAACCUCUUCUGCUUGGCCACCUGGGCCGGGACAUCAGUCUUUUCUGCCCUUGGACUUGAACUGAAAUAUCGUCUCUUCCCAGGUCUUUUCUGACUGGAACCGCACCAUCAGCUCUCCUGGGUCUCCAGCAUGCACACAGGAGCCAACUCCUCUUUCUUUAGAUACACAUCCUCUGGGUUCUGCUUUUCUAGAGACCCCUGAUUCACACUCUCAGUAAUUUCCAUCACUGAGAUUCAUGGCCCUUGGCCUUGCUCCCUGCAGGAACUGGAUAUGAAAAAACAAAAGGGUUCCCCAUGUUCAUGCAUAUCGACAGGCCCAGUUCCUGGGUGUCCCCAGGAACUUCUGCCUCUCCCCGCAGUGGGCACCCGCUUUCCACGGGAGUCUGCUGCAGGUGCAGGCAGGCGGGGAGCACCCCGGGAGGGCACCUCUCUGUGCAUAGCUCAAACCCCACUCUCUGAUAAUGCCUUCUGUUAAUUCAGAGUUUUGAGGAGAAGCCUAAAAUGCUCAGGGGGUUGAAAAAUUUGAGAUGUGUUCAGAUGGAGGUCCAAAGAGUCCUUUCACACUCGUCCUUGGGGGUCUCCAGCGAGCUCAGCAACGUCGCUUCCUGGAGAUGGGGGAAAGAAGAGAAAGAUUGGGGUGGACUCACACGUUUAUUUUCAAGAGGUGCUCACGCACCGUGGGAAAAUGAGCUGAAAGUUCUAGAUAAACCAAUAAAACAACAGAAUCUGUCAUUUUUACCUGUCAGUUGGGGGUGGGGGGGCAGGCACUGCAGCCUUAACACACUCUUUCAAAAGAGGCUCCCUUCCCCAGGCCAACUCAUGCCCACAUUAAAUUCCUGAAAAACUUUCAAAUUUGCAGGUGCAUAAUGCCCCAAGGCUCCAGGUUCUAUGAUCUCAGUGUUAAAACCUGACACAGGGCAACGGUACAUUUACUGGGUGCUUUGGGGACAGGAUGUGAAACUGGGACACUCGGUGGGGUUGGGCCAGGGUCAGACCCAAGUGAGCAGGGCACCCCGCUGUGUGACUGUGGAACUUCAAAGGGAAGGCGGAGGCCCUGCUCUAGGUCAGCCCGGAGAAGAUGGACACGCCCUGUGGGUUUCCAUGGCUCCUGACGCUGCUGUGGCCGGCUGGGGCAGGGCCACCCCUGCAGAAUGGUGUCCUCCUGCCUCCCAGCCGGGGCCUGAGCUCACUCUAGGUGACCGAGGGCGAGGAGGCCUCCUUUCUCUGAACUAGAAUAAGAAGGAAAUAUGACUUGGCUUUGGAGAUUCCCCCCCAGGCUCUUCCCCUAAACACCCACAGUGGUCCCAUUUUGCGUGGCUCACGGUUCCCGGUGGGAGCCCUGUCCCCCUGAAUAGCUUAUGAGAAAUAUGAGCAGAAAAAUCCAGUUCCUAGAAAGCCCGGGGCAGUGCUUCGUGUCUGAGCCGAUGAGAUCAUCCAUCCCAGGAAGCCCCCGGGGCCCUUACUCAACGUGAGUCCACCUCAGUCCCUGGAAGCCACCUGGGCAGCCCCUUGGAGAUAUGGAGUGGGGAGCUUCGUGUGGUUGGCUUAUCCAAGUCCACUGCCUUCCAUGGUCUGACUCGGAAAAAGGAGACGUUAAUGGGGCAGCGUGGGUGGGGAUGGGCCAGCGGCAAAAGCCACGGCUCCUGGAAACUCGUGGUGAAACCUCGCUCUUGGCCCGGCCCAUCUGCUCCACCAGAAGCUCCAGGGUGGGGUCCAGCGGUCGGGGCUCAACGCGCCUCCCAGCUGGUUCGGGUGCACGAAGACUCCUAGGAGCCGAGGACACGGCCGCGGGUUCAGGGUGAGAACUGCCACUUACUGGGGCUCGCUCCACCCAGAAUGCUCCCCGCUGGUCUUUGCC